UUACACUUAAUUCUUUUUCAGAUUAUAAGCUAACGAACUCUUUUAUUUGCUGAAAAUAAAAUGACCAAGUUGCAACUAUUGACCGAUCGUAGCCGCAUCAAAGCAUUCAGCUGACUUUCUGAUAGAGGUCGCGACGCAAAGCUACUUGUGACGACUGAAAACCUUGGAAAGUACAGAUUCUUCCCUCCCGAAGCAUACUUAAACGAUUUAGCUCCAGCCAUGCAAUCGAAGAAAACAAAGCGAUCUGGGGGAAUCACUUUCCUGAGAUUGAACCUAAACUCGCAACUUGGACCAACCUCGAGCGAUAUCCCUAUAACGGGGACACAAGCUAGUGCCAAAAGGCAACCAACUGUGGAGCGACAUCAAGAAGCUCCUUAGCUUACUACUGCUCGCCUAUUGAAGAAGAAAACCAUGACCUUAAGGAAAACGAAAAUUAUAACAACCAAAGCAUUUGAGUGAGAUGACUUCUGAAUAUUACCGAGUGGGCUACAUCCUACCUAACUUCCUACCUCGAAGAUUGUUUUAAAAGGCGCCCUAGGAACUUCGCAAGGGAAGAAAGGUGUGGCCACUCAAGGAGAAAUUGGCGAAGAACAAACAGAAGAGGUCUCUACCUCAGUAGGGCAAAGUCAAUCCAUACUGGACCUUCUGGGGAAGAUGUUAGACCAUCUAAGGCUGGUGGACUUCACCCUUUUAGAGUGCCAACUAGCAUCGACCUUCGAGAGAUAUGUAACCUCUCGACCUUCUGACUUGGUGGCUAUUGCGCUUCAUAUAUGCAAAGCUAGUCUCUACUCACCUUGAACGUUGCUCAUAACAAGAUGAAGAUAAACUCCUCUGGAAAAGUUCAUGAAAUGAAGGAGAAGUUUACCAAAUUAAAGCAAGCCUUUGCCACCUCAAACGAAGCUGUAAGCAAUGCUUAGGUUCAAGCAAGCACAUCUCUGGCAGAAAGGGACUUCGCUCAAUGAACAAUAGAGUUCUAGAAGCACGAGCUUCAAAAGAAGGAUGACCACACCAAAGAGCUCCAGAUGGCAAUAGCGAAGCUCACCAAAGAUCUGAAUCAAAGAGAGAAGGAGCUACAAGAGAGUGUAGAUCGCGAGAAGGAAAUAGAAAAGACUCGAACUGAGCCAUGGGAAAACAUAGAAAAGAGAAUAAAGGUGAAAGACAUAGAGCUCAAGAUGGCUCAAGGGUGGAUCACUUCGUUGACAUAGCAGAUGAAGCAAUUGAAUAGCGAGGUGGAAAGAAAAGUUGGUCAUUGGGCAUUGUAAGUUAUUCACAGCUUGCGACCGAACAACCCAAACUUCGAAGUCAGGGAUCCUAAGGUUUAAGACAAAUGAUCGACCUCUUUCCUGCUUGUCCUCAAGGAGUCUUUUUUGUUUCUUUUUGCUAUUUUUUGUAGCUCUCUUUGUCGUCC